AAAAGCACGGCUAACUACGUGCCAGCAGCCGCGGUAAUACGUAGGUUGCAAGCGUGUCCGGAUUAUGGGUGUAAAGGGCGUGUAGGCGGAGAUGCAAGUCAGAAGUGAAAUCCCGGGGCUCAACCCGGAACUGCUUUUGAAACUGUAUCCCUUGAGUAUCGGAGAGGCAAGCGGAAUUCCUAGGUAGCGGUGAAAUGCGUAGAUAUUAGGAGGAACACCAGUGGCGAAGGCGGCUUGCUGGAGACAACUGACGCUGAGGCGCGAAAGCGUGGGGAGCAAACAGGAUUAGAUACCCUGGUAGCCACGCUGUAAACGAUGAAUACUAGGUGUGGGAGGACUGACCCCUUCCGUGCCGCAGUUACACAAUAAGUAUUCCACCUGGGGAGUACGGCCGCAAGGCUGAAACUCAAAGGAAUUGAGGGGGCCCGCACAAGCAGUGGAUUAUGUGGUUUAAUUCGACGCAACGCGAAGAACCUUACAGGACUUGACAUCCAACUAACGAAGUAGAGAUACAUUAGGUGCCCUUCGGGGAAAGUUAGACAGGUGGUGCAUGGUUGUCGUCAGCUCGUGUCGUGAGAUGUUGGGUUAAGUCCCGCACGAGCGCAACCCCUAUUGUUAGUUGCUACGCAAGAGCACUCUAGCGAGACUGCCGUUGCAAAACGGAGGAAGGCGGGGACGACGUCAAAUCAUCAUGCCCCUUAUGUCCUGGGCUACCACGUAAUACAAUGGCCGUCAACAAUGGGAAGCAAAGCCGCGAGGUGGAGCAAAUCCCCAAAACGGUCUCAGUUCGGAUUGCAGGCUGCAACUCGCCUGCAUGAAGCUGGAAUUGCUAUAAUCGUGGAUCAGCAUGCCACGGUGAAUACGUUCCCGGGCCUUGUACACACCGCCCGU
rnacentral:rRNA from 1 species